rnacentral:rRNA from 1 species
CUAUGCGCCUUGCCAGCCCGCUCAGGUGUGCCAGCAGCCGCGGUAAUACGUAGGGGGCAAGCGUUAUCCGGAUUUACUGGGUGUAAAGGGAGCGUAGACGGCAGUGCAAGUCUGGAGUGAAAGCCCGGGGCCCAACCCCGGGACUGCACUGGAAACUGCCGUGCUGGAGUGUCGGAGGGGUAAGCGGAAUUCCUGGUGUAGCGGUGAAAUGCGUAGAUAUCAGGAGGAACACCGGUGGCGAAGGCGGCUUACUGGACGAUGACUGACGCUGAGGCUCGAAAGCGUGGGGAGCAAACAGG